rnacentral:rRNA from 1 species
AAUAGCUUAACGGCUGAACCAGCAACUUGGAGGAAUUUUUAGCAUGGCUAUACUGUAAUUAAUGUUACACAAAUCGAUUUACUCGAAUAAGAUUCAAGGUAGAUAAUGAUAAUGACAUUUUCUAUUUUUAUGUCUUGACCAAUUUACGUGCCAGCAGUCGCGGCAAGACGUGAGAGGCUAGCGUUAUUCAUCUUUAAUAGGUUUAAAGCGUUCCUAGACGGUUAAUUAAGGCUUUUAUACUAGAAGGUAAUUAGUCUACUGAUUAAACUAGAGUUACAUGUAAGGGUGAUUUAAAGUACUAGUGAGUGUAGAGAUGAAAUUCAGUUAUACGAAAUAUGUAAGUAAGGCACAGGUAACGGCGAAAGCAUCACCUUAUGUAUAACUGACGUUGAAGGACGAAG